rnacentral:rRNA from 1 species
AGCCCGCUCAGGUGUGCCAGCAGCCGCGGUAAUACGUAGGAGGCAAGCGUUAUCCGGAAUGACUGGGCGUAAAGGGUGCGUAGGUGGUUUGACAAGUUAGUAGCGCAACUCCGGAGCUUAACUUCGGAACUACUACUAAAACUGUUGGACUUGAGUGCAGGAGGGGCAAUCGGAAUUCCUAGUGUAGCGGUGGAAUGCGUAGAUAUUAGGAGGAACACCAGUGGCGAAGGCGGAUUGCUAGACUGUAACUGACACUGAGGCACGAAAGCGUGGGGAGCAAACAGG